UUUGAUCUGAAUUUAUUAGGGAUUAUCUUAAUAUGUGCUGUGAACAUGCAUGAUUUUUUCAGAUUUUUUUACAAUGUUUAAAUUUGAAUUUGGGCCGCAAGUGACAUGCAAAGGUGCAUGUCACCUGAUCCCUGGCGCUCGCAAGGUCCGUGCUCUCCUAACCCGCGUCGAUCCGUGAUAGCAGGAGCAUCUAGCCGCAGGGCCAGCCGGAGCAGGACCUGCCCCCGCCUCCGGCGAAGCUCCAGGCGGCUAUGAGGAAGCGCUACGACCAGAUCCUUAUUGGAGAAGGACAUUUCCGGGGUCGACGAUUGUGCUGGCGCUCUGAGGCUGCGAGUGCUGCUGUGCCAAGUGCCAACAUUGGUUGACAGUUCUGAUGUGUUAUUCUCGUUUUCAGUUAAUGCAUAUGCAAACCGGACUCCUCAGGGGUGCCGGUGUUGUUAUUUACGUACAUGAGAGCGAGAAUCCUGAGAAGACGACAGUAGUGGCCGAGCAGGUGGAUUAGUAUGCAGAUAUUGAUGAUGAGAUGCCAACCUCAACUUACCAAUCAGUGGAGAUCGAGAAGGGUACUGAGGCCAAGAGUGUCUCUGAUGGUUCGGGCAGUGGUUCUUCACCAUCCAGUGGUUCAGGGUCAGGGAGCUCAGGGGACAGCGCCUCAGAAGCUAGCGAUGCUCGUUCUCUGGUGUAGAGGAGGUUGUUCUAACUAUAGGAUUUAAGUAGGUGGAGGAUGUUGAUAGACUCUUGGAUCACUAGGCUAGAUCAAUCCGGGAUAUUGUCUGUAUUCGGGUGUUUACCUUAGCGUUCCGGCCAUUGCUGGUUCGUCGAUGGAGGUCUGCGCACGGGCAGCGACGGUCGGUGUAGAGGUCGACGGUGAAGUGCAUGAGUGGCAGCGGUGGAGCUUCCCAUCGCUUCAGUUCCUCCCUCUGGAUCGGAUAGGGUUAGGAGUGGGGAAACAGUGGCGGUGACGAACCUCGUACCCCGUGCCCCUGGUCCCCACCUCCUCUUUAUAGCACUGCGCGAUAGGGGCCCACCAGCCUUGCUUGGGCUGGACGCCCCCGAUCAGGGCGUGGGUCAAGGGCCCAAUGAGCCGUUGGGCCCAUUGGUGGAGAGAUCAACCUAACAGAUGUGAGUACUUAUUUCUGGGAUGUGCAUGUCGGCUUGGAUUUAGUUGACUUAUUUCCUAGUGGAAGGCUGGCUUUGUGGGUAAUCUGAUAGCUCAGCUCAACUAUGUCUAUAUAAGUGAAAAGUGGUGGUAGUUCAUCUGGCCUUCUGAUCUGAAGGUGCCUUUUAUAUUGAUGUGUUUUGUCUAGCACAUCUAUUCUGUAUGUGAGUUUAUAUAUGCUUAUGGGCGACGUAACUAUGGCAUCGGAGUAAGAAAAUACUGAAAUCAUGGCUAUCAUCUUUGUCUUGUGAUGUAGUAUAUGGGAUAUGAGAAUGGCAUAUGCAUGAUAUAAUGUCAGUAGCCAUGCAAGGGUGAGUUGAAUGCGAAUUUCCAUCCCUGUAGUGUUGCUCGACUUUGUAAGAUUAUACUCACCUUUGAUUUCAGAAGUGUCUAAUUAUUAUGAGAUACGUCAAGCUUAAA